UUGUUCUUCAACCAAGCACCAAUACAAUCAGCAUGAUAUCUAUGAUCACAUAAAGGGAAAGUCUCAGUGAUACUAGAUGGCAGAAUCAUAUAAAGAAUAGCUACAAGUACAUCAGAGAAACUUUGUAUAAGGUCAACCAAAGAUUCUUGAAAGGGUUUCACCAGUUUUUGUUGAUUCUGAUUAAUAUUAUGGUUACUGAUUUUGCUCCUACAAAGUGGACAUGUAGUAUUGUUCUUCAACCAAACACCAAUACAAUCAGCAUGAUAUCUAUGAUUACAUAAAGGUAAUACCUUAACUUUUUCUCCUUUACACAUUUGGUUUAAACAAACUGAACAACAAUCACUUUCACCUUGAUCUAUUUCCUUCACUGAACCAUGAUUCUUGUAGAGUUUAUGCAGAAUCUUGGUUAUGUUUUCUUGAAAUGAGUUAGACAUGAGAGCAAUUAUUGUGAAGAAUUCAAGAAUAGUUGUUGUUUUCAUGUUUGGUUUUUUGGAGCAAAGA
rnacentral:lncRNA from 1 species